rnacentral:rRNA from 1 species
UACGUAGGGUGCGAGCGUUGCCCGGAAUUAUUGGGCGUAAAGAGCUCGUAGGCGGUGUGUCACGUCGGUCCGUGAAAACCUGCAGCUUAACUGUGGGCGUGCGGUCGAUACGGGCAUCACUGGAGUUCGGCAAGGGGAGACUGGAAUUCCUGGUGUAGCGGUGAAAUGCGCAGAUAUCAGGAGGAACACCGGUGGCGAAGGCGGGUCUCUGGGCCGAUACUGACGCUGGAGGAGCGAAAGCGUGGGGAGCAAACAGG